rfam:Cajanus cajan CcLG08_1189, whole genome shotgun sequence.
UGAGAGGGAUGAUGAGAUCAAAUAAUCUCGUUAAUCUGAUAUAUAAUGAGGAUAACUUUUCUCAUCCAUUCACUAUUCUUUCUGAGC